UAGGGAAUAUUAGAAAUGGACGAAAGUCUGAUCUAGCAACACCGCGUGUGCGAAGAAGGCCUUCGGGUCGUAAAGCACUUUUUGGAAGGAAUAGGAAGGAAUGUACUUCCAGAAUAAGUCUCGGCUAACUACGUGCCAGCAGCCGCGGUAACACGUAGGUGGCAAACGUUAUCCGGAUUUACUGGGCGUAAAGCGCGUGUAGGUGGUACUGUAAGUAGGGCGUGAAAGAUCCUGGGUCAACUGGGAGAGGCCGUUCUAAACUACAGAAAUAGAGGAUGGUAGAGGGAGGGGGAAUGACAGGUGUAGCGGUGGAAUGCGCAGAUAUCUGGAGGAACAACGGUGGCGAAG
rnacentral:rRNA from 1 species